CCUGCUCCUAGAGGCUUUACAGGCAUGGCUGCUGUGUCUCAUGUACAUCAGUAGGUGGCAGAGAGGAGAGAGGUUAAGUCUAUGCUCAGAGUUCUGACUUGUGAACUUCUGAAUGAUUAGUAGCCUAACAGU